UAGGGAAUCUUCGGCAAUGAACGAAAGUCUGACCGAGCAACGCCGCGUGAGUGAAGAAGGUUUUCGGAUCGUAAAACUCUGUUGUUAGAGAAGAACAAGGACGUUAGUAACUGAACGUCCCCUGACGGUAUCUAACCAGAAAGCCACGGCUAACUACGUGCCAGCAGCCGCGGUAAUACGUAGGUGGCAAGCGUUGUCCGGAUUUAUUGGGCGUAAAGCGAGCGCAGGCGGUUUCUUAAGUCUGAUGUGAAAGCCCCCGGCUCAACCGGGGAGGGUCAUUGGAAACUGGGAGACUUGAGUGCAGAAGAGGAGAGUGGAAUUCCAUGUGUAGCGGUGAAAUGCGUAGAUAUAUGGAGGAACACCAGUGGCGAAGGCGGCUCUCUGGUCUGUAACUGACGCUGAGGCUCGAAAGCGUGGGGAGCAAACAGG
rnacentral:rRNA from 1 species